rnacentral:lncRNA from 1 species
CUGGAGGGGCUGUGUCUGGGGAGAUGCUUCUCUAUAAAAAGCUUAGAGAGAGUUGUCAUCGAAAAUAACAAGACUAUUCUGGAUAUGAGUAACACUGAGGAAUAAGAUACUAAGCCAUUAAAGAAGGGUAUAAAAAUUAUGUCUGACACAGGAUAUGGAGAGAAAUAUGAUGAAGAUGAAAUAUGACAACAGAAUCAAGAGAUGGUAUUUUGCCAUGUUACCCAGGCUGGUCUCAAAAUCCUGGAAUCAAGCGAUCCACCUGCCUUGGCCUCCCAACGUGCUGGGAUUAUAGCUGUGAUCCACCGUGGCCAGCCCAAGAAGUCUUUAGCAUACUCUGCCACCAGACUAAAUCAGGUUCGCCAUGUUGCCCAAGCUGGUCCCGAACUCCUGACCUCAAGUGAUUUGCCCACCUUCGCCUCUCA